rnacentral:lncRNA from 1 species
UCUCCACACAUAAAGCAUUUUUGCAUGAGAUUUUUUGCACCAAUCUAAUGUUGAUCGACUCUUAUCUAAGUUCAUAAGAUGAAGAUAAAGUUUUAUUCAAAAUUUAAUUUAAGUUUGAUUUGAAUUGGUGAUAAGGAUCAACCAACGUUUGAAAUUGAACUGAAACUAUCUUUUCCUUAUCCUUAUCUUCUAUGGGAUGCCACCCUUAAGA